GCCCGGCUAGCUCAGUCGGUAGAGCAUCAGACUUUUAAGCAGUAAUGGAAUCUGAGGGUCGUGGGUUCGAGUCCCACGUUGGGCG
rnacentral:tRNA from 1 species